GGGCCGGAUACAACUUCUCUGCAGCACGUAGCGCUCUACUAGCAUAUGCUAUAACCCUUUCGAUACCAUUCUGACGUUGAUAAAGUAUGGCGCCUAAUCCAUCACCACUGGCGUCUAUAUUCAAAAUGAAUGGUAGACUAUAAUCGGCAAAAGCAAGAAUAGGGGGACUAGUCAAUACCUCUAUCAGCUUUUCUCUGGCAGCUUGCUGUUCAUCGCCCCAUUUCCACUUCGUUGGCUUGGGUUUGUUCUUUUUCUUAGAUGUCUGCUUCUUGUUCGUUUGGUGUCCUACCAGAAGAUCAUUUAGUGGUCUUACUAUCUUAGCAUAAUCUCGUACGAACUUCCUGUAAUAGGAUGUGAAUCCUAAAAAUCGUCUGAGACCUCUGACAUUCUUUAUUUCUGGCCAGUUUCGUACUGCUUUUACCUUUUCUUGGUCUGUUUUAAUCCCCUCUUCAGAGACAAUAAAACCUAGGUAUUUUAUUUCUUUCCUAAAAAAUUCGCACUUACUUCCUUUUAGUUUUAGGCCAAUGCUUCUUUAGCUUACUGAAUACAGACUCUAGUCUUGUCAUAUGUUCUUCAGCAGUCUUAGAAAAAAUCACUAUAUCAUCCAGAUAUAUUAGGCAUUCUCUCAGGUGUAACUCACCCAUGCAUCUCUCCAUGAGACGCUGAAAUGUGGCACAAGCAUUGGUUAAACCAAAAGCUAGCCUGUUACACUCAUAAAACCCUAAAG
rnacentral:lncRNA from 1 species